rnacentral:lncRNA from 1 species
AAAAAAAAAACAUUCAGAUCAAGUAACCGAACAAAACUUUUCGACGGUUAUAAAACGAAAAAUCACGAUUUAACUGUUAUUUUAACUCCAAUUUUUAUGAUUUUUUACAGCUACACUCCUUGACCCUAUAUGAAUACAAUGAAUGAAUUCGAUCUUCAAUUUAAAAUAUUUACACUAGUGGAUACCACAAAAUCUUAUGUUAUACUUAAUGAAAGUAUAAAUAAAAUCUUAAGUGUUAGUGAAUCUAUUGUUUUGAUGGGAUACGCAUUCUAUGAAAUUAGUUUCAACGAUCCAAU